rnacentral:rRNA from 1 species
GUAGGUGGCAAGCGUUGUCCGGAAUUAUUGGGCGUAAAGCGCGCGCAGGCGGUUCUUUAAGUCUGAUGUGAAAGCCCACGGCUCAACCGUGGAGGGUCAUUGGAAACUGGAGAACUUGAGUACAGAAGAGGAAAGCGGAAUUCCACGUGUAGCGGUGAAAUGCGUAGAGAUGUGGAGGAACACCAGUGGCGAAGGCGGCUUUCUGGUCUGUAACUGACGCUGAGGCGCGAAAGCGUGGGGAGCAAACAGGAUUAGAUACCCUGGUAGUCCACGCCGUAGACGAUGAGUGCUAAGUGUUAGGGGGUUUCCGCCCCUUAGUGCUGCAGCUAACGCAUUAAGCACUCCGCCCUGGGAGUACGGCCGCAAGGCUG